rnacentral:lncRNA from 1 species
AUUUUCUUCUAUGGCUGCGUCUCCUUCAUUACAGGGUGUAGGUCUCUGAUUGUCCACACAAUGACAGUGUCCUUUUCUCUUAGUGGUCUGUUCCCUUGCAUUCGUUCUGUGAGAGUGGACGUCUGAGGAGGCUAAUCAACUGUGUCGACGCUCCCAGGUCUGGGUAGGAGGGCCGUGUAGACAACCGAUGACUGGAAGAGAAUAACCGGUUGGUUCUUCUUGAAUUCACCUUCUUAGAUGCAGUAAUCAACCGUAGCCUUGAUUGUUAAGAGGUUCCUCAAUCCUCUUCCUCGUGUUACGUUUUGGGAUCACGACUAUCCAUAGACUUUGGCUGCAGCAUGCGGUCAACUUCGUCUGCUUGACCUCUGCUCUGACCAGACAGACCUGUGGUGGUUCAGCCCAACUACUUUAGUCAGCUCCUCUGUCAGAAACAACUUGAAGCACUCUGCCUCAGAUGGAAAUGGCAAGGGGCGUUGCACUCCAGACUGGGACUCAUCAAAGCAAACAGCAGGGCCAGGAGGGGUGAAAUGGCUAGCAGCCUGCCAGCUAGCACAGAACUCCUGUACUUCAUCCACUGUCGGUCUGCCUCCAUCACCACCAGCAUCUUCAAAGGGAACUGGGACUUUGUCAGUGGACAAGGGAUCCUCAGAUUCAGG